GUACGUCACGGACUUGCUAUGUGGAGAGAGAAAUCACACGGGGGUCUUGCUGGAAGGAGAGAGACCGGUGCUGGGAUGAGACCUGCCUGCCCUCCAUCCCUGUGCUACAGACAAGGCACAGAACAGCACUGGGCCCAUGGUGCCAUCUCCCCUGCCCGUGACUCUGCCACCAAGUCCACGAAGCAGCACCCAGCCGGCCCCAGACCCGGCUCCACGCCCCCCUCCGCCCCCAGUGCACCUGCCGCCGCC
rnacentral:lncRNA from 1 species